GAACAGGGGUUUUUCUUCUCCCAGGGGGAUUGAGCAGACACAGGGUAAUUUGUAGUGAAAUUUCCAGCAGGGUUCGUUUUGCAGGUGGCUGAGUGCAGAGGGUGUGGUGAGGAAUGAGAGAGGCAAUUUGCUGGCUGAAGGCUGUGAAUAUGAGCAUUGUUGUACAGCAGCAGGUCGGGUCGUGAGGCGAUGGGCUUCGAGAUCAGUGGCGGUUUGAUAGCAGGAAAGGUGGCAAGGAGGGUGAUCCUUUGAGAUUUUCUAUUGGAUUCAAGUCAGGUGAUUGGCUGAGCUGUUCUAGCAGCUUUAUUUUAUUUCUCUGAAAGCAACUGAGAGUUUCCUUGGCUGUGUGUUUGGGAUCAUCGUCUUGCUGAAAUGUCCACCCUCAUUUCAUCUUCAUCGUCCUGGUAAAUGGCAACAGAUUUUGAUUAAGAAUGUCUAGGUUGCUGGAGGGGAGAGAUUUUUUCCCAUCCUCAUGACGGUUCAUACGUCAUCAGACCGCAGAUGUCCUUGUUGGGGGAGGGGAAGUUCAUGUUUUUGAUUAAAGAUUACUAGGGCACAUGAAUUAUAAACAAAUAAUGAUGUGCACAUUUCAAACAAACACUGCAAUACUUCAUUUAAAAAAAA
ensembl:lncRNA